rnacentral:lncRNA from 10 species
GAUACGUGUGUGUGCAUAUGAAGUAACCUUAUUAUCUAUUUUUUUAGCAUGUAUUAUUAAAAGAGACAUUUGAAAAACUCACAAGAUGUUUCUAUUUAUUUUGAUUCUAGACAGAUUUUGGGAAGUUUCAACUUAGACGAUAUGUUCAAAAUAAAAAUACAUUGCAAAUUUCCAUGUUCUAAACUAAUUACAACAAAAGCACAAUUUAGGAGAAUUGAGGGUAGGGGAAAUUAAAUGAAUUAUAAGCUUCAUUAAGCAUAAUUUGAUCAUUGAGUAUACUGAAUUAGAUUUUUACAUUUUUAUUCUUUCUGAUCUAGAUCAAUAUGUCUUGAUCAUCAGUGUGUGUGUGUGUGUGUGUGUGUAUGAUCACCAAUGGUUUUUGUCAUUUUGGAAUGUCAUGUAAAAGGGAAAUGACAGUACCAGACAAACUAUUAUAUGUGUACCAGAGAGUACACAAAAAUUGGCAUUGACUUAUUCACUGAAUCCUCACAGUGAGCGACAUAAAUCAAAACUCCCUGUGACAGUAGGGAAAGGCUGGUAACUUUUAGUAGGAAAUUGAUACAGGUAUGCCUUUCAGAGAAUGAGAGGAGAUUCUUUCCACGGUGCUAUCUACAGUAACUACUUGCAGGGAUGUUGUUCCUUAAUGAAAGGUUUCUUUUAAGAUAUAUGUACCUUUUGUAAUGCUAACAGAAUUGAUGAUGGGAACUGAAAACCUAAGAUGGACUGAUGAACAGAUUGGUUUGCAAACACCUCUUAUGGGUAGAAAAAUGUAGGUAUAACAUAAUUUUUUACUGUAAUGAAUUAUUAUUAUUUGCAAGAAUACAUGACUUUUUUCUUUCUUUCUUUCUUUUUUUUUUUUUUUUUUUGAGACAAGGUCUCCCUUUGUCGCCCAGGCUGGAGUGCAGUGGCGCUAUCUCCUCUCACUGCAAGCUCCACCUCCGGGGUUCCCGCCAUUCUCCUGCCUCAGCCUCCCGAGUAGCUGGGACUACAGGCGCCCACCACCACGGCAGGCUAAUUUUUUGUAUUUUUUUAGUAAAGACGGGAUUUCACCAUGUUGGCCAGGGUGGUCUCGAUCUCUUGACGUCGUAAUCCGCCCGUCUCGGCCUCCCAAAGUGCUGGGAUUACACGUGUGAGCCACUGAGCCCGGCCGACUUUUUCCUUACCCAUUUUUUUCUUCUGCAUGAGGAGGCUACAAUCCUUUCAUUUGAAGAUCCUGUACUUUCCUCACUUGAAGCAGUCACUCUUCUUCAUGAUAUUCAUUUCAUCCCUUCUUGUUACUUCCAAACCGGCCGCCCCGUCUGAGAAGUGAGGAGCCCCUCCACCCGGCAGCCCACCCCUUCUGGGAAGUGAGGAGCCCCUCUGCCCGGCCACCACCCCGUCAGGGAGGUGUACCCAACAGCUCAUUGAGAACAGGCCAUGAUGACGAUGGCGGUUUUGUGGAAUAGAAAAGGAGGAAAGGUGGGGAAAAGAUAGAGAAAUCAGAUUGUUGCUGUGUCUGUGUACAAAGAAGUAGACAUAGGAGACUCCAUUUUGUUCUGUACUGGGAGAGGUUCUUCUGCCUUGGGAUGCUGUUGAUCUGUGACCCUGCCCCCAACCCUGUGCUCUCUGGGGCAUGUGCUGUGUCCACUCAGGGUUGAAUGAAUUAAGGGCGGUGCAACAUGUGCUUUGUUAAACAGAUGCUUGAAGGCAGCAUGCUCCUUAAGAGUCAUCACCACUCCCUAAUCUCAAAUACUCAGGGACACAAACACUGCGGAAGGCCGCAGGGUCCUCUGCCUAGGAAAACCAGAGACCUUUGUUCCCUUGUUUAUCUGCUAACCUUCCCUCCACUAUUGUCCUGUGACCCUGCCAAAUCCCCCUCUGAGAGAAACACCCAAGAAUAAUCAAUUAAAAAAAAAAAAAAAAAGCGAGAAAAAAAGAAACAGCUGUAGGAACUGAAAGUGUUUAGCUCAGAUGUGACUAAGGGGUAUCAAUUGGUGUCUUCAAGUAUUGUGGCUCUCGUAGAUAAGAGAAUGAAAAACACAAAAAAGAAAAAAGAAAAAAGUUUUAAAAAGAGAGAAUGAAGUAAUUUAAUUACACUAGAGCCUAGGUGCAAUGAGAAGUUAGCCAGCAGGCAAAUUUAAAUAAAUACUGAAGGGCUGGGCGCUGUGGCUCAGGUCUGUAAUCCCAGCACUUUGGGAGGCCAAGGUGGGUGGAUCAAUUGAGGUCAGUUUGAGACCAGCCUGGCCAACAUGGUGAAACCCCGUCUCUACUAAAAAUACAAAAAUUAGCCGGGUGUGAUGGUGGGCGCCUGUGGUCCCAGCUACUCGGGAGGCUAAGGCAGGAGAAUCACUUGAACUCAGGAGGUGGAGGCUACAGUGAGCCAAGAUCACACCACUGCACUCUAGCCUGGACAGCAGAGCAAGACUCCAUCUCAGAAAUAGAAAAUACAAAAUAAAUAAAUAUUGAAAACAAAAAACAAAACAAAACAAAGAAAUGAAGGGGAGGUUAAAAAAAUUCAAAACAAGCAAAAAACUGAAGGAGUUCAUCACCAUGAAACUACUCUUAUGAGAAAUGCUAAAGGAAGUUUUCACAUUAAAACAAAAUAAUGAUAAGCAACAAUAUGAAGCAUAUGAAAGUAUAAAACUCACUGGCAAAGGUAAAUAUAUAGUCAAAUUCAGAAUACUCUAAUAUUAUAAAGGUAGUCUGUAAAUCACUCUUUUGUGUAAGAGUUAAAAACAAAAUUCAUUUUUUAAAAAAGCUAUGAUUGAUUAACAGAUACAAAAUAUACAUCCAUAGCAUGAUAUUAAUAGCAUAAAAUGUUAAAGUAAAAUACAACAUCAAUAGCAUAGCCUGUGGAGGAAAAGAAUUAAAAGUGCAGUGUCUUGUAUGCAAUUGAAGUUAAGUCACUGUCAGCUUAAAUUAGGGUAUUAUAAUAUGACGGUGUUUUAUGUAAGUCUCAGGGUAGCCAUAAAGCAAAAACUUCAGCAGGGUGUGGUGGCUCAUGCCUGUAACCCCAGCACUUUGGGAGGCUGAGACGGGAGGAUCACAAGGUCAGGAGUUUGAGACCAGCCUGACCAAUAUGGUGAAACCCCAUCUCUACUUAAAAUACAAAAAUUAGCCAGGCAUGGUGCAUGUGCCUGUAAUCCCAGCUACUCAGGAAGCUGAGGCAGGACAAUCACAUGAACCCGGGUGGCAGAGGUUGCAAUGAGCUGAGAUAGUGCCACUGCAUUCCAGCCUGAGCGACAGAAUGAGGCACUGUCUCAAAAAAAAACAAAAACAAAAACAAAACAAAAACUACUAAAUACACAAAAUACAGAGAGAAAGAAAUAAAUUAUACCACUACAAGAUUAAAACAAAUCAUAAACAAAUACAGCCAGAGUGAAAUAAAGGAACAAAAUAAUUUCAAAACAUUUAGUCUAAAUGUAAAUGGAUUAAAUUCUCAAUUUAAAAGCCACAGAGAAGAUGAAUGGAUUAAAAAAAAUUAAAAAAUGAAAAACCAAAGAUCUAUCAAAACACUGCCUACAACAGACUCACGUUAGCCAUUAGAACAAACAUAAGGCCAGAUUCAGUGACUUAUACCUAUAACUCUAGCAUUUGGAGACACUGAGAGAGGAGGAUUGCUUGAGGCCAGGAGUUGAGACUAGUGUGGGCAACAUAGCAAGACCCUAUCUCUACAAAAAAAAAUUUAAGUUAGCCAGCCAUGGUUGUGCAUGCCGAUAGUCCCCACUACUCAGGAGACAGAGGCAAGAGGAUAGCUUGAUCCCAGAAGUUUGAGGCUACAGUGAGUUCUAAACAUGCUACUGAACUCCAGCCUGGACAAUAUAGCAAGAUCCUGUCUCUUUAAAAAAUUUGUUCUAACAAUAAACAUAGAUUGAGAGUGAAGGUAAGGAAAACAUAUUUUAGGCAAAUGAUAAUCAAAAGCGAGCAGGCGUGGCUACACUUAGACAAAAUCGACUUAAAGUCAGAAACAGUAAACAGAGACAAGGAAAGUCAACAUAUAAUGAUAAAGGGGUCAAUUUAGCAAGAGGAUAUAAGAGUUUUUAAUAUAUAUGCACCUACAUCAGAGCACCUAUACAUAUAAAGCAAAUACUAAUAGAUCUGAAGGGUUAGAUAGACUGCAAUAUAAUAAUAUUAUAUAUAGAUAGAAUACAUGAUAGAAUACAUCAAGAAGAAAUAGAAAUCUAAACAGACCAUAGUAGGAGACUUCAGUACUCCACAUUCAACAUUGCGUAGAUCAUCCAGACAGAGAAUCAUUGGAAAAAUAGUGGAACUGAAUAACACUUUGGAUGUAGACCUAAUUGACAUACAUAGAAUAUUCCAUCCAACUGAAACAGAAUACAUCUUUUUUUAACGACACAUGGAAUAUUUUCCGCAAUAGAUUAUACAUUAGGCCACAAAACAAGUCUUAACACAUGUAAGAAGAUUAAGAUCAUACCAAGUAUUUUUUUCUGACUCUAAUGGAAUGAAAAUAGAAAUCAGUAACAGGAGAAAUAUUAGAAAGUUUACAAAUAUACGGAAAUAAAACAACAUGCUUCUGCAACACCAAAGGUGAAAGAAGAAAUUGAAAGGGACAUCAAAAAAUCCUGAGACAAACAAAAGUAAAAACACAACAUACUAAAACUUUGGAGAUGCAGCAAUAGCAGUUCUGAGAAGGAAGUAUACAGCAAUAAAUGCCUACAUAAAAAAAGAAGAGAAACCAAAUAAGCGAUUUAAUAGUACACCUCCAGGAACUAUAAAAGAAAGAUAAAUUAUACUCAAAAUCAUUAGAAAGAAGGAGCGCAUAAAGAUUAAUGAAAUAGGGAGUAGAAAAACAAUAGAAAUAUCAACAAUAAAAAGAAAUGGUUUUUUGAAAAGAUAAACAUAAUUGACAAAACAUUAGCCAGAUUAACUACAAAAAGAGAGAAGACUCAAGUAAAUAAAAUCAGAAAUGAAAUAGGAGAAAUUACUACUGAUAUCACAAAAUUACAAAGGAUCAUGAGUGACCAUUAUGAAUGAUUAUACACCCACAGAUUGGGUAAACUAGAAGUGGAUAAAUUCCUAUAAACGUAUAACUUAGUAAGAAUACAUUAAGAAGAAAUAGAAAUCUAAACAGACCAAUAAUUAGUAAAGAGAUUAAAUCAAUAAUAAUAAUAAACAAUUCUCAUCAAAGAAAAGCUUAGGACCAGAUGGCUUCAUGGUAGAAUUUUACCAAACAUUUAAAGACUAAUUCAUAGCAAUCCUUCUCAAACACUUCCAAAAAAUUGAAGAAGAAAGAAUAUGUCCAAACUAAUUUUACAAGGUCAGCAUUACGCCUA